AGAUCCAAGUUCUCAAAGAUUUCCAAAUAGCUGUGCUAAAAAUAAUUUUCUCAUUUAGCCCCAAAGAGCCAGGAGCCCUGAAAGUCAUUCAUCCAGUGAGGCUCGACUCAGGGACCGGUAAAAAUUGCAGUUUUGUUUGGGAUGGACUUGAAUUGCCUGGGACGCUUGACCGAUGAAAAAGCACAAGAGGUCAGCAACUUCCGCGCCUGAGGCCAUGUGGCAUUGGGACUCGUAAUCGCUUUAUUUUAGAACCUCCAUUUACUCAGUAUCCACAUAAAUCAAGGAGAGGCCAGGGCUACAGUGGAAAAGAAGAAGGGCUGAUAAUGGAGGUUUGGUGACGACUUUGGUUUGCAUGACCAGGGAAGACCACUCUGAAGAAGGGACAGGGCUUGAAGAGUCGAGCUUUUGUCUUGAGAGCAAUGAGGACCCAGGAGAGGUUUCAAACAGGACCGUGAUCUUAGGGUCCGGCUGCUCCAUGGAGAAUGCACUAGAGGAGUGUGGGGAGAUGAGGAAGCCAAGGCAUAAUGAGCCCGGUUGUCUUUGACACAUUCAUGUAACUGGGACACCCUUGAGCCAUGGCUGGACUCCAGGUCUGCUGGUGACCCUGCGUGUCAGCUCUCCGUUGUGCUACCUGGUGCCGGCACCUUCCACCAGGCUGGGGCAUCAGGGGAGCAGGCUCCUUGCUGUAUCCGCACCGAGCUAGGAGCCCAGCCCCGAAGCAGCAGCCAGCAGGUACACUUCUAGCUUCGCCUCUUCUUGGUGCCAGACUGACACUUCUGGUUCAAGUCCUGAAUGCUCCUCUUCUCCUGUUCUUGCUCAUUGAGGAGUUUGAAAGCAGAGAGCCUUGAAUUUGAGACAUCUGGGAAUGGCCAAGAUUUUGGACUCGUUUUGUGAAAAGAUGUAUUUGUUCAGUUGAGCAAGUGUGAAGCAAAUGCUUUCAGCAUGUCCGUUAAUCUCAGCGGCCCCAGUGAUGUGCCAAUCACCAAGUCUAGUGAAUCGAAGAUGAUUAAAUGACGUAUCUGCCCUGAGGAAGCAGACAGCACUCCAGGAGGAAGAGAACUAUACAAGAAGUGAACAUCUGCCAGAGGGAGAUGGAAGGCAAUGGCCAUUGCACCUGUGUGCAGAGAGUGAAAUUAAAAACCAUUUAAACGCACGUUACUAUGACAAUGUCCCAUGUACACGAAGGAUCCCGAUUGUCUCUUAUUCUGGCCCCUUCUCCUUCCCUCUGGUCACAACAUCCUCCAGAUGGUGAGGUCUAAAGCCUGAGACGACUCCCUUCCUGCGGGCUGAGUGAGGAGCGUGUGGUGUUAUGGAUGUGGCUUUGCAACCUGCCAGUUUGAGAAAGGCAAUGAACUGGACUCUCUGUGUCCUUGUCCCCAUUAAUGCAGCUGUAACUUUGCUGAUGCAUUUAUGUCUGUCUUUCUUUUUUUUUAAUUGUUGGGGAUUCAUGGAAGGUACAAAGAACUGGGUUACAUUGAUUGCAUUUGUUAGGUAAAGUCCCUCCCUGCCUCGAAAAGAUGUGUCAUACACCGUGACCCGCCCUCCUCCCCUCUCUCAGUUCUCCCCUUCCCCCACGCCCUUCCCCUAUAAGAGGGACUUUACUAACAAAUGAAUUUCUUGAAUUUUAUUAUAUUGAUGUACAAUUACCUUUCUCCCUGGCUCAUGUGUUUUAGGUAGAUAAUCUUUCUUUCUAAUUCUAACUGGAACUGAAGCAUAUCCCUCUUAGUAGGAAAUAUGGUAAAGAGCUCAACAAAUGGGUUAGAAAUCAGUUUUUAACAAGAACACAGGCUCUGAAUCAGAUCUCAAAGAGUUUUCCAAAGAGAUCAUGCAUUGAUUUGGACUCACGGCUGUUUUUUCUGGCCGUGGAGAAUCUUUCUGGAGUGCUAGCAUCCAUGUUGCAAAUGGUAGGGUUUCCUCAGAUCCAUUAUCUCCAGGUCAAAGGAGGAUGAUUUAUUUGUUACACAAAUAUGGACGUAGUGCCUACUUUGUGCCUGGCCUGCACGCAAAGGCAACAGCAGCCAGCAACGGAAGAGAUCUUCAUCUUCCCGGAGGGAUGAUAUUUAUCACACGGACAGACAAGUGAAUAUGGAAGCAGGUGACGGGGCUGGGGCUGGUGGGUGUGAGCAGAUGGCCACCUCCUGCCACUGCAGAUCCCACUGCUUGAUGUCCUGGAAGGAUGCUGUUUAUUUUGAUUAAAUUUGGUGUCAGUUUUCUUGCUGGGAGAGAGAAGAUCUGGGCUUUGGAUCAGAGCCACCUAUGUGGGUGAUUGCAGGGUCGGUGGGACCUCUGCAGAGGCCCAGGACUGACCUGAACCUGACUCCUCUCAUCUCUGGUUUGAGGACAAGGCUGCUCCCUGUCGGCGCUGUGACAAUAAAAUGACUUGAGGUAAGUGAAGUAUAUGGAACAUACCAGGGGCUCAUGAACUGAGAAGGCUCGAUACGUGUUCUUUUAGAGCCAUCUUUGUCUCCUAUUGCAGGCUCUGUUGAGUCGCUACAAUGUCAAAUCUAAUAGUUCUUCCUUCCAGCAAAAUCUCAGAAAGGCGGUUAUGCAGGUGUGCUCAUGCCUUUUCAAGUUGUCUUUGGAUUUAUUUACUUCCCGCGUGUGGUAGGCUGAAUAAUGGUCUCCCGGAGGCAUCCACGUUCUAAUCCCCAGGCCUGUGAAUAUGUUCCUUCACACGGCUUUGCCGAUCUGAUUACGUUAAGGCCCUCAAGAUGUGCAGGUAGUCCUGGAUGUCUAAACGGACUCAGUGAGAUCGUCACAGGGGUCCUUUUAAGAGGGAGGCAGAAGGUCAGAGCUAUAAAGAGCAGAUGAUGUGAGGAUGGAAGCAGAGGGGAUUGAUGAGGAAAAAUGCUACACUGGUGGCUUUGAAGAUGGAAGGAGGGACUCUGAGCCAAAACAUGGGGGCAGCCGUUAGAAGACAGAAGAGGCAGGGCCACCUGAGGAGCCACCAAGAGGAACACAGCCUGGAACUCGUCUGAGGCUUCUGACCUCUGGAACCAUAAAGUAAUAACUGUGUUGCUUUAAUCCACUAAGUGUGUGGUAAUUUAUUACAACAGCUUUACAAAAGUAAUAUACCAGGUGAAACUAGAAGGCUCUGUCUAUGCUGCAGAGAUAAAAAAGAGUAGGGCCUCUGGGCUGACCAAGAUAGUGGUAGCUGAGGGGUUGGAAGCCCAGCUGUACCACCUGCUAUGUGUGUGAUAGAUAGAAAGUGACAUUUUCUCUGUGCCACACUGUGUAUCCACUGUGCUUAUACACAUGUACCCUAAAUGUAUCCUUCAGCCCAUGUUCCCUCGACAAUUGUCUAAAGGAUACAUUUAAGAUAGAAACGAUUAAAUAGAAACGAUUAUUAACAUAAUUUAACCUAUUUAAUACUGUCUCCCUGGAAUAAUGGAAGAGGAAUGAAUUGUUGCCAGGAGAAGUGGACCAGACAGCUGUUAAAUGGUAACAAAAAAUUAUUUCUGUUCCUAUAUGUGUUCACUUUCCCCAUAGGGACUAAUGACAGUUUCUGUUCCCUGCUGUUCCCCUGUGGAUUAAGAGUUACAAUUUGGAUGACAGGCAUUGCCGCUUCUCAAAACACUGUUUAGGUUCUGGGUUGUAUUCAAAAAUUGCUGUCAGAGCCAAAUAAAGCGGCUCCCUCUGAUCUUUCUGCAAUUCUGAUCAUCUCUGGUAGAUCACAGGCUGCCUGGUUGUUGCUUUGCAAAAAGUUGUUCCCCUGAAAACCAGGGAGGAAGCAUAGUCACAUGAAAUCCUGUUGAUUUUUCUAAGUUUACCUAGUUAGGGUAAUACUGUUAUCCAAUGUAAUUUCCGAUUUCUAAAAACAGAAGACUUACUACUUCUAUGAAUCUAGCCUAAAGCAAUGAUUCUUAAUUCAAUAAAAAUAUCAGCAUGCAAAGAUGUUUAUGGAAAUAUUAUUUUAAAACAGAAAAACCUGGAAUAAACUAAAAUGCUAGACCAGUGGUUCUCAACCUUCCUAAUGCUGGGAACCUUUAAUACAGGUCCAGGGGGUUGCGAACCACAGGUUGAGAACAGCUGUGCUAGGCGAUACAGGAAUUGCUAAAUAUGUUGUGGUCUAGUCACUCUGUGGAAUAUUAUGCAGUUGGUCGAAAGUGUGGUUCUAAUAACUCUGCUGUAAUAAGGAAAAUAUUUUCAAGAUACUGCUAAGAGAAAAAAUUGUAUUUAGUAUGAUUAUAAUGCAUAUAAUGAUUAUAGCUCAUGCAUUAAUAACCUAGCAGAAAACCUACCAAAACAUUGACACCCACUUUGUUAAAGUGGCAAAAUUAGGAAUUGUUUCUUUCUUCUAUUUCCCAAAUAUUUAGUAAUAUAAUUAUUUACAUCUCUAAGGGGGAAAUAGAAGAAAACAAAGUAAUAAGCGAAAGGUUCAAAAUAGCAUGGAAGAUGUCCAAACAAUUACAAAUACACACAUUUAUAACUUUAAGUUUAAAUGCCUGCAGAGCUCUAACACCCUCCAUCAGUGCCGAUGGCAGGAAAGCCAGGGUGAGAAAUUUUGGCCAUUAGCACUUAGCAGGGUGUGUGGAAAAUGUCUUAGCACAUACACAUUCUGGCUUCAGUCAACUGAUUUGGUUUUAAGAGACAAAGGAGAGGUUUGCUUCCCCAAAUAAUUCAGUUCUGAUUAUUUCAGUGAUCUCCAUUCCAGUGCAGGGACUAAGGACGGAAAGAAUGAUUGCUUUUCAGAUCUCUAAGUGUUCUCCAGACAUCCUUCCAAAAGGAACGUAUUAAUUUGCGUUCCCACCAGCAGUGUAGAAGUGUUCCCUUGUCUCCACAUCCACGCCAACAUCUCUGGGCUUGGGAUUCUGUGGGCUAAUCUUACUGGAGUUAGAUGAUCUCUCAAAGUAGUUUUGAUUUGCAUUUCUCUGCUGAUUGAGGAUGAUGAGCAUUUUUUCUGUAGGCCAUGCGCCUGUCUUCUUCAGAGAAGUUUCUCUUCAGGUCCCUGGCCUGGCCUGCGAUGAGAUCCCUUGUUCUGUAGGUAUAUGUAGAUUCAGACCAUCUGAAUGGCACUAGUGUGUUUUUAGUAUUGCUUUUUAAAAUAUUAUUCACACAAUUUCCAAUCUAAACAUCAUGCGAAGGUACAAGACAAAUAAAUACUCAUGUCUGGGAGGAAGGCUGUUUACGAACUUGAAAUGCAUACAAUAAAACUAUAUCAAAAAAAAAAAAAGAAAGAAUGAUUGCAUCUAGGAUGCAGGAAAGGCCCCCCAUGUGCUCCUCCAGGUAGGUCCUCUCUGUUAGACAGACGGGCAGGUGAGCAGAAUGAGGCCAGGAUCUCACAUGGGGUAGGGGGCGAGGUAGGGGAGGCCCCGCGUGGUGGGAUGCCAGCUGCCUGGGCUGCUGAGAUCUCCAGGUGAUUCUGCAACACAGUCUAUUUCUAGGAGACCCAACAGCAUCUCACUAGAUUUGUAAUUCCCCACAGGGGUACGCACGAGUGCAAUGGUUUUCCGAAAUUCCACACAAUAAAAAGCAUGUUUGAGAAACAAAUUUUCCCUCCACUUACAUCCCGCAUUCUCAGUUUGUGUUUCCUGAGAAAGCUGCUGUAAACGAGGAACACUAAAUAAAUACAGAUCAAUGCAGGGAAGUGUCCCCACUGCAAUCACUUAUAAUCUCCCCGGCCUGUGGGGGAAUUUAGAUUUUUAAACAAACUUCCUUGGAACGUGCAUCUUGGAUGCAGGGCCUGGGCCUGGGUCUGGGGGCUGCUGCUCCAGCAAUACCCAGUUGAAUGAAAACACAGCAAACGUAUCCCCUUUAUGUCAGCAAUAUUCGUCGUAUGAAGCUUUCCGGAAUAUAGAUGUUCAAUAGACUGAGUUAAACUUUUAUUGGUUUUGCAAGAUCUAACAGUUUUAGAGAGUGAUACAUUUUGGUUGGAGAUGUUUCUGAGCAGAAAUG